UGUGGUUGUGGUGGUGAGACUGUGGUAUGGCUGCUGCUGCGCUGAUGUUCCUCGGGUGGAGAUGUUACUACUGCUUUCUUAGCCACGCUUCGACCUCGACGCCGGCGGGACGGUGCCACGGACGCAACCCCGGCGUCGCCUACCUCGCUACUUCCUGGAAAGGAGAACAAGAAAGGUUAAGAAGAUAUAGAUUUAGAAAUUCUUUUAGUUUCAUUUUGUAAUCUCAUAUUUCUUGUGUAACUUGUAAUAUUUCAAUAAGUGUUGUAAUAAUACUUAUGUAAUUUGUUAUUUA